AUUACUUCUCAGUCUUUUGGCUAAGACCCAGCGUAAUAUCUGUUCUUCUCAGUUUAAUAUUCUACAAUCCUAUAGAAACCAAAACAGCAUGGUACUGGUAUAAAAUUAGACACACGUAUUAAUGAAACAGAAUUGUGAACCCAGA
rnacentral:snRNA from 1 species